rnacentral:misc_RNA from 1 species
AACUUUUAACAAUGGAUCUCUUGGCUCUCGCAUCGAUGAAGACCGCAGCGAAAUGCGAUAAGUAAUGUGAAUUGCAGAUUUUCAGUGAAUCAUCGAAUCUUUGAACGCACCUUGCGCUCCCUGGUAUUCCGAGGAGCAUGCCUGUUUGAGUGUCAUUAAAUUCUCAAACUCUGAUUGAUUUGUUUCAAUCGAGCUUUGGAUUUGGAGCGUGCCGGCGUCAGUCGGCUCCUCUUGAAUGCAUCAGCGGAAUCCCAUUCAUUUCGGACGUCAGUGUGAUAAUCAUCUUGCGCUGUCUUUGCGAUCUUGAAAGCCCGCUCACAAUGGUCUUCGGACAAACCUCACUAUCAUAUUUGACCUCAAAUCAGGUAGGACUACCCGCUGAACUUAAGCAUAUCAAUAAGCGGAGGCU